rnacentral:lncRNA from 1 species
GUAGAGUCCAGUGUGUGGGUAGAGUCCAGUGUGUGGUAGAGUCCAGUGUGUGGGUAGAGUCCAGUGUGUGGGUAGAGUCCAGUGUGUGGGUAGAGUCCAGUGUGUGUGGGUAGAGUCCAGUGUGUGGGUAGAGUCCAGUGUGUGGGUAGAGUCCAGUGUGUGGGUAGAGUCCAUUGUGUGGGUAGAGUCCAGUGUGUGGGUAGAGUCCAGUGUGUGGGUAGAGUCCAGUGUGUGGGUAGAGUCCAGUGUGUGGGUAGAGUCCAGUGUGUGGGUAGAGUCCAGUGUGUGGGUAGAGUCCAGUGUGUGGAUAGAGUCCAGUGUGUGGGUAGAGUCCAGUGUGUGGGUAGAGUCCAGUGUGUGGGUAGAGUCCAGUGUGUGGGUAGAGUCCAGUGUGUGGGUAGAGUCCAGUGUGUGGGUAGAGUCCAGUGUGUGGGUAGAGUCCAGUGUGUGGGUAGAGUCCAGUGUGUGGGUAGAGUCGAGUGUGUGAAUAGAGUCCAGUGUGUGGGUAGAGUCCAGUGUGUGGGUAGAGUCCAGUGUGUGGGUAGAGUCCAGUGUGUUGGUAGAGUCCAGUGUGUGGGUAGAGUCCAGUGUGUGGGUAGAGUCCAGUGUGUGAGUAGAGU